AUGAACGCUAGCGACAGGCCUAACACAUGCAAGUCGAGGGGCAGCACAAGGAGCAAUCUGAGGUGGCGACCGGCGCACGGGUGAGUAACACGUAUGCAACCUGCCUGUAAGCGGGGAAUAACCCGUUGAAAGACGGACUAAUACCGCAUAAUACUAAAUUACUGCAUGGUAAUUUAUUUAAACAUUUAUGGCUUACAGAUGGGCAUGCGCAUGAUUAGCUAGUUGGAGAGGUAACGGCUCCCCAAGGCAACGAUCAGUUAGGGGUUCUGAGAGGAAGGUCCCCCACACUGGUACUGAGACACGGACCAGACUCCUACGGGAGGCAGCAGUGAGGAAUAUUGGUCGAUGGACGAGAGUCUGAACCAGCCAAGUCGCGUGCAGGAAGAAUGUUCCCUAUGGAUUGUAAACUGCUUUUGCAGGGGAAUAAAGUGCAUCACGUGUGAUGUUUUGUAUGUACUCUGCGAAUAAGGAUCGGCUAACUCCGUGCCAGCCGCCGC
rnacentral:rRNA from 1 species